UACGGAGGGGGCUAGCGUUAUUCGGAAUUACUGGGCGUAAAGGGCUCGUAGGCGGCCAACUAAGUCAGACGUGAAAUCCCUCGGCUUAACCGGGGAACUGCGUCUGAUACUGGAUGGCUAGAGGUUGGGAGAGGGAUGCGGAAUUCCAGGUGUAGCGGUGAAAUGCGUAGAUAUCUGGAGGAACACCGGUGGCGAAGGCGGCAUCCUGGACCAAUUCUGACGCUGAGGAGCGAAAGCCAGGGGAGCAAACGGG
rnacentral:rRNA from 1 species